rnacentral:rRNA from 2 species
CGAACGCUGGCGGCAGGCCUAACACAUGCAAGUCGAGCGAGGACUUCGGUCCUAGCGGCGGACGGGUGAGUAACGCGUGGGAACGUGCCCUUUGCUACGGAAUAGCCCUGGGAAACUGGGAGUAAUACCGUAUGUGCCCGAGAGGGGAAAGAUUUAUCGGCAAAGGAUCGGCCCGCGUUGGAUUAGGUAGUUGGUGGGGUAAUGGCCUACCAAGCCGACGAUCCAUAGCUGGUUUGAGAGGAUGAUCAGCCACACUGGGACUGAGACACGGCCCAGACUCCUACGGGAGGCAGCAGUGGGGAAUCUUAGACAAUGGGGGAAACCCUGAUCUAGCCAUGCCGCGUGAGCGAUGAAGGCCUUAGGGUUGUAAAGCUCUUUCGUGGGGGAAGAUAAUGACUGUACCCCAAGAAGAAGCCCCGGCUAACUCCGUGCCAGCAG